UACAGAGGGUGCAAGCGUUGUUCGGAAUUAUUGGGCGUAAAGCGCGUGUAGGCGGCUUUGCAAGUCGGGUGUGAAAGCCCUCGGCUCAACCGAGGAAGUGCGCCCGAAACUGCAGAGCUUGAGUACCGGAGAGGAUGGCGGAAUUCCCCAAGUAGAGGUGAAAUUCGUAGAUAUGGGGGAGGAACACCGGUGGCGAAGGCGGCCAUCUGGACGGAUACUGACGCUGAGACGCGAAAGCGUGGGUAGCAAACAGG
rnacentral:rRNA from 1 species